rnacentral:miRNA from 9 species
CUGGUCUCAAGUGGUGGGUAGA